UUGAACGCUGGCGGUAUGCCUAACACAUGCAAGUCGAACGAGGUAGCAAUACCUAGUGGCGGACGGGUGAGGAAUACGUAGGGAUCUGCCUUUAAGUGGGGGAUAACCCGGGGAAACCCGGAUUAAUACCGCAUGAUCUCGCAAGAGCAAAGUGGGGGACCGCAAGGCCUCACGCUUUUAGAGGAACCUACGUCGGAUUAGCUUGUUGGUGAGGUAACGGCUCACCAAGGCGACGAUCCGUAACUGGUCUGAGAGGAUGAUCAGUCACACCGGAACUGAGACACGGUCCGGACUCCUACGGGAGGCAGCAGUGGGGAAUAUUGGACAAUGGGCGAAAGCCUGAUCCAGCAAUACCGCGUGUGUGAAGAAGGCCUUCGGGUUGUAAAGCACUUUAAGUUGGGAAGAAAAAACUUCAAUUAAUACUUGAAGUCUUGACGGUACCGACAGAAUAAGCACCGGCUAACUCUGU
rnacentral:rRNA from 1 species